ACAGUUGUAGCUCAGUGGUAGAGCAGCUGCCUAGUAUGCACAAAGCCCUGGAUUUAAUCCCCAGUACCAGUG
rnacentral:tRNA from 1 species